rnacentral:rRNA from 1 species
GUGCCAGCAGCCGCGGUAAGACAGAGGGUGCGAACGUUGCUCGGAAUUACUGGGCGUAAAGCGCGUGCAGGUGGCUCUGCACGUCCGGUGUGAAAGCCCGGGGCUCAACCCCGGAAGCGCGCUGGAUACGACAGAGCUUGAGGGCUGGAGAGGCAGGCGGAAUUCCCGGUGUAGAGGUGAAAUUCGUAGAUAUCGGGAGGAACACCGGUGGCGAAGGCGGCCUGCUGGACAGCACCUGACACUGAGACGCGAAAGCGUGGGUAGCAAACAGGAUUAGAUACCCUGGUAGUCC